UUUAAUUGAAGAGUUUGAUCAUGGCUCAGAUUGAACGCUGGCGGCAGGCCUAACACAUGCAAGUCGAGCG
rnacentral:rRNA from 6 species